UGUGGGCUGAUUUGGUCAGACUUAAUGACACAUGCAUGAAUGGUUUUUCAAAUUAAACUAGUUAACGUGAGUAACAAAAGAAGUAAAUAUAUAUUUAGACAGAGAAGAAGAUAAUUUUGUAAAUGAUGGGUGUUUUGUUGAAACUUGCAUGUGUCGUGUUUGUUUUGUCCAUGCUCGCUUCUGUUGUGGACGCGGCUCCGAGGAAAUAAGGAAGAAAACAAAACCCGGUAUUAACACCGAGACAAACAAAAACUCUUGAGAAAAUGUUUAUGAUGUAUGGUAGAAGUUUUGAUUUUGAGAGAAAGCAUGAUAUCAAAGGAAGUAACUAUCUGUGUGCCAUUGCCAAAUCAUGUGAUUCCCAGAGAAAAAGAGAUGUAAAAUAAAUGAACAGUAUGACAAAGCUUCAGUAAUACUUACCAAUUACAUAUAUAUAUUGAACAAAUUUUCUCAA